rnacentral:rRNA from 1 species
AUUGAACGCUGGCGGCAUGCCUCACACAUGCAAUUCGAACGGUAACAGGUCUUCGGAUGCUGACGAGUGGCGAACGGGUGAGUAAUACAUCGGAACGUGCCUAGUAGUGGGGGAUAACUACUCGAAAGAGUGGCUAAUACCGCAUGAGAUCUACGGAUGAAUGCAGGGGAUCGCAAGACCUUGCGCUACUAGAGCGGCCGAGGGCAGAGUAGGUGGUUGGGGGGAUAAAAGCUUACCAAGCCGACGAUCUGUAGCUGGUCUGAGAGGACGAUCAGCCACAGUGGGACUGAGAAACGGCCCAGACUCCUACGGGAGGCAGCAGGGGGGAAUUUUGGACAAUGGGCGCAAGCCUGAUCCAGCAAUGCCGCGUGCAGGAUGAAGGCCUUCGGGUUGUAAACUGCUUUUGUACGGAACGAAAAGCCCCGGGUUAAUACCCUGGGGUCAUGACGGUACCGUAAGAAUAAGCACCGGCUAACUACGUGCCAGCCGCCGCAGUAA